UUUUAUUUUAUUUUAUUUUUUUUGGAGUUUACUGGAAACCAAACUUGGGAGGAAAUGACCGAUUCAUUGUUCCUGUGGCUUGUUUGGCAGAACUCUGAAGGCAGAGAGUCGUCUCCAUCUGACAGAAGGAUGGUUCCACUGGGUGUGAGAAAUCUUCUUCCUGUAAAAAGUGAGUCAUGAUAAGAAUAGAGUGCCAGACCUCCCUCAUACUCGUCAGUGUGGCAAGGAGAAUGUGACCAAAUCCCUGAUGAGUGCACUCUCCUUCCUGACAAGGAAGGGAUAAAGGAACCUGGCAGGAGAAAGAAAAAGUGCUGCUGGGGCAGCUGCCCCAAUCUGCUCUCUGUUAACAUUUCCCUUUGUCUUGAUUUCUAUGCUCAAAAUCUUCUCCUUGUGGCUUACUGUUGUUUCUAUAAAAAUGUCUUUUACUUGGCAACAUCCUAGCCAAGAAAAGGAAAAUAUCUAACAAGGAGAAACACAGCUUGUCUGUCAUCUCAGGGACUUAGGGCCAGAACAAUCCUUUGUUAUUGAGUUAUUAUGGGUUGAAUUGUGUCCCCUCAAAAUUCAUGUGAUAAAGUUCUAACUCCCAGGAUCUCAGCACGUGACCAAUUUGCAAAUAGGGUCAUUGCAGAUGCAAUUAGUCAAGAUGGGGUCAUGCACACAAAAAGAGCAGACUUGUGAUGAUAAAGCAGAGAUCAUGGCGAUGCAGCAGAAGCUAAGGAACCCCAAAGACUGCCAGCCAGCCACCAGAAGCUAGGAGAGAGGCAUGGAACAGCCUUCCAAAGGAGCGAACGCUGCCAACACUUCGAUCUCAGAUUCUGGCUUCUAGAACUAAGACUGUACAUUUCUGUUGUUUAAGCCACUCAGUCUUUGCUAUUUUUUGUUACAGUAGCCCUAGCAAAAUAAUACAUGAGUGAACAACUAACUACCCAUGUCAUGUCGUAGGCCAUUUCCACUCGUUUUCUUUUCCAUUCUCUGCCCCCAAGACUGUUCCAGAUGGGAACACUGAGGCUGAGCCAACAUGGUCAAAAGCCAGGCUCAAGCCCAGGUGUCCUGACCGUGUCUAUGCAUUUUCAUUUACACAAUGUUACUGCGUGUUGGUUACUGGCAAAUGUUGAUGGCAAGGCAAAGGCUGGAGCCGCAAUUCUAAAAGGUAGCUGCACCCCCACUGUGCCAUAGAACAGUUGCUGAAAGAAUUAGUUCUUAAUUGAUUCCUUAUAGAAUCAAUGAUAUUUUAAGUGUUUCCAGGAGUUCCGUAUUUAAAGGAGCCCUGUGGGAGACCCUUUUGUAUAGCAAAGGGUCCUUCUGGGCUGUGAAUGGUAACCUUGCCUCCCUCUAAAUUCCUUUGCUUUGCAAGCCUAAUUGGUUCUCAUCUGAGAGGUGUUUGAGUAAGCGGGCCUGCCUUCAGUUCUGCACCUCUGCCUUGGCUGGCAGGGGCUCAGUAAAUGCUUGCACUUGCCAUUGUGGUUGAUAGCAAUGAAGGACGCCCACCAGUAGCACUGCCUUUUAAAUACACGUGGUGUCUGGAAUGAUUUCCUCCCAUUUCAAGCCGUUUUCAGCAUCCUCAACUUAAAAAUCAUUGCUUGGGUAGAAAAGGGGAAAAACAUCAUUUUGCUAAAUGCCAACAUUUAGCUAUUAAUUACUCCCUAACUAUUAGUGAGCUUUGUGUUAAUUACUAUUCCAAAUUCCUAGGUGCUUGUAAAUUAGCAGAUGCUUCAUUCCCUUUCCUCAGUCUGUCUUUAGGCCGCCAGGGCAGAAAGAUUCCCCUCGGGAGAUGCAUAUGCCCCACCGGAGAGGGGAUGGCUGUGGCCAGGGGGGUUAGAAUCUUUCCACUUUCUUGACAAGCUCUAUUGGGAAUGCACGGUGCCAAUGUUUUAGAUAACUUUCAAGCUUCUUUCCUGCAAUAGCUCUUAUUAGUUGGUUAAUUCGCAAGCAUCAACUGAGUAUCUGCUAAGGGCCAGGCACUGUCCUUGGCCCUGAAGAUGCAGAGAUGAACAGAGGAACUCAGCCCUACCGCUCACUCCUCACCAUCAAAUGGGAAGCUACAUGUGUAAGUCAGUAACCACAGCAAUGUGGUAAGUGCUCUCUCAGAAGGCUGGAGAAGGCACUUUAGGAGCACAGAAAAGAAGUGCCACAGUGCUGGAAAUGGCAAAAACCAUUUCCCAAGGUUGGUGGCAUUCUCGCUAAAUCUUGAAGGAUGAGUAGGAGUGUGCCAAAUGCAUAAUGUGACAAAGGACAUUUCAAGAAGAGAAGAGUAGUACAUGUCAGAGGCAGCUACGAGCACCUGGUGUUUGAAGACGGGUGGGUGGCUAGACACAGGAGGUGAUGAGGGGGGAACAGGGAGUGAGUUUAAACCAGUUUUCAGGGGGUAAGAUCACAAGGGAGCUGGGACAUUAGUCUGCAAGUAAUAAGGAGCCGCUGAAGGUUUUAUCCUAGAAGGAAGGGUGACACCUUAAAUUUGGUGGCACGGAAGGUGGUCUGAAGAGUGAAGGGGCUAGAGGCAGGGAACUGGACGGACAAAUAUAGUGGAUGAAGAUCCAAGCUGAGGGAGCAGCAGUACAGAUGGAGAGAAGUGCAAUGAUUUAAGCAAUAGUAACAAGGUCAAAUUCUAAAAGUUUGUCACUGGGAGAUAGAGACAGGAAGAGUCUGGGAUGACGACAUGUCUCUGGCUUGUGAUUCCAGCUACUCU
rnacentral:lncRNA from 1 species